rnacentral:rRNA from 2 species
ACGGGAGGCAGCAGUGGGGAAUAUUGCACAAUGGGGGAAACCCUGAUGCAGCAACGCCGCGUGAAGGAAGACGGUCUUCGGAUUGUAAACUUCUGUUCUUAGUGAAGAUAAUGACGGUAGCUAAGGAGCAAGCCACGGCUAACUACGUGCCAGCAGCCGCGGUAAUACGUAGGUGGCAAGCGUUGUCCGGAAUUACUGGGUGUAAAGGGAGCGCAGGCGGGAAAUCAAGUUGGAUGUGAAAUGUCGGGGCUUAACCCCGGAACUGCAUCCAAAACUGAUUUUCUUGAGUGAAGUAGAGGUAGGCGGAAUUCCGAGUGUAGCGGUGAAAUGCGUAGAUAUUCGGAGGAACACCAGUGGCGAAGGCGGCCUACUGGGCUUUAACUGACGCUGAGGCUCGAAAGUGUGGGGAGCAAACAGGAUUAGAUACCCUGGUA